rnacentral:rRNA from 1 species
UACGUAGGGUGCAAGCGUUGUCCGGAUUUAUUGGGCGUAAAGAGCUCGUAGGCGGUUUAGAAAGUCGGGUGUGAAACCUCCAGGCUCAACCUGGAGACGCCACUCGAUACUUCUAUGACUUGAGUUCGGUAGGGGUAAGCGGAAUUCCUGGUGUAGCGGUGAAAUGCGCAGAUAUCAGGAGGAACACCGAUGGCGAAGGCAGCACUCUGGGCCGGUACUGACGCUGAGGAGCGAAAGCGUGGGGAGCGAACGGG